CAGCAGAGUUGUUUGCCAAAGAGUGACUAUCAAGGCCUUGACUAAUGUUCUAAGGAGGGCACAAUGUUCCACUCCCAAAACAAUGUAACCCAGUGGUUUUCAGCAAGGAAACUGAUAAAUUUCCCAAAGGAAUUCCUUACUGUCAGUAAGACCUCUGAAAAUUCACUAGUGAGAAUAAAUGCCACGAAAUCUAACAUUAGUAUUCUGAACUGAAUUUGCUUAUGCCAGACCUCUAAACAAUAAAUUGUGUUCUGCUGUGUUGCUAUGCCCGUUCAUGAGGCAAGCCAUUUUAAAGUAAAGCAUCUUGGAGAUUCCAUAAGAGCAGAAUGUGGAAGGGGUGUACUGCUUUAGGCUAGGGGAAAACAGCAAAAAAAAAAAAAAAAUAGUGGAUGAAGUAUAUUCUUAGGGGAGACUUGGAGAGCAAACUACAGGAAGUGCUGAGGAAGGAAGAAGGACACCGUGGAUCAUGGUGGAAGGCCCACGUGGACGCAAAGCAGCAAGCACAGACACAGCACAUGACCCCAGGAGCCGAGAGCGGGAGACUGCACCAGCUUUGGAGAGUGAGCUGUCGGACACAUUGCUGGGGAAAGCCAGACAUGAGCCUCCUUCAGCACCGGACACAGCCUAGGAUCCUGCUGGGCUCAGGACCUCCCCUCCCAUCUCUAGUCCCACGAGGAAUGUUUGUUCCCGUUCUCUGCUGGGGGAGUUUUUUCAUGGCGGGGCCUCAUCCUCGACGAAGCUGUGGGACUCAGAGCCAGGCUCUGUGUGGCCCGACGAUCCUGCUGACCCCGGCCUCCUGUAGACCAUGGGCCGCCAUACCCCUGGCCGCAUUUCCAGCUUUUCAAGUGGGAAGAAACCACCCUGCGUCCCAGGACUUGCACUUCUGUGGGCCAUCCUCAGCAAGACAUUUUCAUGGAUAUGAAACUGGACACCGAGUUGACGCUGAAGUUCAGCUGCUGGGUAAUCUUCCAUUUCUGGAGCUUGCUCAGCUUCCUUGUAAAACCCAGCUGUGCCUUCACCCUGGACAGGAGCAUCUGACAUUUUCAUGGAUAUGA
rnacentral:lncRNA from 1 species